AACCCUAACCCUAAUGUUUCCCUUUCCUCAGCCACUGAACGCAGCCUCUACCCCCUUUCCUUCCUAAACACCACACACACACAAAAGAAGAAAGAAACGCAGAGAGAGAGAGAGAGCACGAAGAGCAGAGAAAAGAGAGCCCGCCGCCGCCGUGACCGUCGCACUGCCACCGUUCAACUCCGCUCGCGCUGCCGCGCGUUCUGUCAUCAUCAGAGUCAUCGUCGUCGUUUGUGGAGCCGCGAGGAGCUCGCCGUCGAGCUGCUUUGGAGCGCCGUCCCGUCCAUAGAGCCGAGCCCGAGCCCGCUUCGUCACCGCCGUCGGGGUUUUCAUCGUCGCUGGUGCGGUCGGAGCCGCCGUCGUUGGAGAGAGAGCAAGCGCGAAUCUGAGAAAGGGAGAGAGAGAUACGACGCAACAGAGGAGGAAAGGAGAAGUCUUCUGUCAUCAACGCCACGCCUCUUCACCACCGCCGCCGCCGGAAUUUCUGGUUGCCGCCAUGAUUAAUGGUGAGUUAGUUAAACCCUAGCCAUGAGAACCACCAUCUUUGAACCUUUACUGCUCUGUAAAUACCCAGUAUCUACUCCUGAUGCUCUUGACUAUGUUAUGUUUGUUGGAGCUUGUCUCCAUGGAGCCACUGGCGGGGUGUUGCUGCUGCUGGAACCACCGCGGGGUGCUGCUAGGAAUCGCUGCUGCCCUGCUUCCGCUAUACUUAGGUUCAACAUCCAUUGGCCUGGAGCCGUUUCUGCUUCCGAUUCUAUUGAAUUUGAAAUCUUCGCUUCGUUGCAACCAUGAUCACUGUUGUGGGAGCUAACGCCGUUGCUAUCUUGAUUGAGACUGUUGCAUAGCUAGUAUUGGUCCAGCCAGCUGCCUCGCUAUAAUCCAGCCUCCGGGUUCUUUUAAUCGCGACAUCGAGUGACACAGGUUUGAAGACGCAAUUUGAAGCUGCGAGCCAUUAGUAGGUUUUCUUUAUGGUUUUAAUUGCUUUCAUAGAGUCCCCUCGCUCUUUUCCUUUGAAGUUUUAUUUUAUCAGAGGGGUAGGUAUUGUAUUUGGGUUUAUAUGACUUCCUAUGUAUAAGAAUUACUAUUAAUAAUACUUAUAUGAUUGUCUUAUUAUUUGCAA